UCCGCGGGGCGGGCCGGCCGGCCGGCCGCACCCCCGGCCUGGGGCCUCCGGUCGUAGUAAAACGGAGGCGGGUGGGGAGGCGGGCGCGAGAGCCCGCGGCGGGCGAGGCGAAGAUGGUGGCGGCUACUCCUCCCGUCAUACACGUGGACCUAACUGCACCAGAAGCUUUUCUAAGGAUACUUGCUGGAAAGGAAGUUUUCCCGAGUGGGCAAACCUGUCUAAGCAGAGCAAGCCAGACUUGGGUUUUUCCCUGUAGUUUGAAGAACCCUACAGAAUGAUUCUUGACAAAAUGCAACCUGCAACUGCCUGGAGAACAAUUCAUUGUCACAUCAAAGUUUAUUAUGUAUUUAAUGAAAUACUGUUCUCAGUAAUCCAUGACCCGGUGUAGUUUGUCUAUGAGAGAACUAGGAAUCUGAACUGAGCACUAAAGGUAAGGGGAGCUCAGUGUAAAGGCCAAUUUUUGGUGUCUGACUGGAAAUGAGAUCAUCAUGCCUGCUUGAGACUUUGCAGAUUGUCCUUUGCUUUAGAGGUUGUUUUACAGCUUACAUUGUGCUUAAAGUCUGAAUUAAUGUAGUUUUCUGUUUUGAUAAAGUUCAGAAUGUAAUAUUCUUAAUGAGUUUUAAAGGAUAACUAAGAUGGAUGUAUCUCCCGUGAAUUUGAAGACUAUGGAAAAAUUGUUAAGGUUUAGUUUUCUUUUUCCAAUAAUUUGAACACAGACAUAGCGUUCAGAGAUGCCUGCUUUUGUAUCUGCAAUUUAGGUAUGCUGUUUGUUUUAGUGCAUUUAAUGUAAAUAAAUUACGUGUUUUAAAAUUACUUGUUAAGAAAUUGUCCAGAAUGAGCAUAUUGAAAUAAAAAUCUUA